CCUACGGGUGGCAGCAGUGAGGAAUAUUGGUCAAUGGGCGCGAGCCUGAACCAGCCAAGUCGCGUGAGGGAAGACGGUCCUAUGGAUUGUAAACCUCUUUUGUCGGGGAGCAAAAGAUGCCACGCGUGGCGUUCCGAGAGUACCCGAAGAACAAGCAUCGGAUAACUCCGUGCCAGCCGCCGCGGUAAUACGGAGGAUGCGAGCGUUAUCCGGAUUUAUUGGGUUUAAAGGGUGCGCAGGCGGUAGAUUACGUUGGCGGUAAAAUUGAGAGGCAAAACCUCUUCGAGCCGUUGAAACUGGUUAUCUUGAGUGAGCGAGAAGUAUGCGGAAUGCGUGGUGUAGCGGUGAAAUGCAUAGAUAUCACGCAGAACUCCGAUGGCGAAGGCAGCAUACCGGCGCUAAACUGACGCUCAGGCACGAAAGUGUGGGUAGCGAACAGGAUUAGAUACCCGGGUAGUC
rnacentral:rRNA from 1 species